UACGUAGGGCGCGAGCGUUGUCCGGAAUUAUUGGGCGUAAAGAGCUCGUAGGCGGCCUGUUGCGUCCGCUGUGAAAUCCCAGGGCUCAACCCUGGGCGUGCAGUGGAUACGGGGCAGGGCUGGAGGCAGGCAGGGGAGAACGGAAUUCUCGGUGUAGCGGUGAAAUGCGUAGAUAUCGAGAGGAACACCUGCGGCGAAGGCGGGUGCUGGGCUGACACGUGACGCUGAAGCGCGAAAGCUAGGGGAGCGAACGGG
rnacentral:rRNA from 1 species